rnacentral:rRNA from 1 species
UACGUAGGGUGCAAGCGUUGUCCGGAAUUAUUGGGCGUAAAGAGCUCGUAGGUGGCCCGUCGCGUCGGCUGUGAAAACCUGGGGCUCAACCCCGGGCCUGCAGCCGAUACGGGCAAACUAGAAUUCGGUGAGGGGAGACUGGAAGUUCCUGGUGUAGCGGUGAAAUGACGCAGACUAUCAGGAGGAACACCGGUGGCGAAGCGGGUCUCUGGGCCGAUAUUGACGCUGAGGAGCGAAAGCGUGGGGAGCAAACAGG